rnacentral:rRNA from 1 species
GGAAAGGCGCGCGAUACAGGGUGACAGCCCCGUACACAAAAAUGCACAUGCUGUGAGCUCGAUGAGUAGGGCGGGACACGUGGUAUCCUGUCUGAAUAUGGGGGGACCAUCCUCCAAGGCUAAAUACUCCUGACUGACCGAUAGUGAACCAGUACCGUGAGGGAAAGGCGAAAAGAACCCCGGCGAGGGGAGUGAAAAAGAACCUGAAACCGUGUACGUACAAGCAGUGGGAGCACGCUUAGGCGUGUGACUGCGUACCUUUUGUAUAAUGGGUCAGCGACUUAUAUUCUGUAGCAAGGUUAACCGAAUAGGGGAGCCGAAGGGAAACCGAGUCUUAACUGGGCGUUAAGUUGCAGGGUAUAGACCCGAAACCCGGUGAUCUAGCCAUGGGCAGGUUGAAGGUUGGGUAACACUAACUGGAGGACCGAACCGACUAAUGUUGAAAAAUUAGCGGAUGACUUGUGGCUGGGGGUGAAAGGCCAAUCAAACCGGGAGAUAGCUGGUUCUCCCCGAAAGCUAUUUAGGUAGCGCCUCGUGAAUUCAUCUCCGGGGGUAGAGCACUGUUUCGGCAAGGGGGUCAUCCCGACUUACCAACCCGAUGCAAACUGCGAAUACCGGAGAAUGUUAUCACGGGAGACACACGGCGGGUGCUAACGUCCGUCGUGAAGAGGGAAACAACCCAGACCGCCAGCUAAGGUCCCAAAGUCAUGGUUAAGUGGGAAACGAUGUGGGAAGGCCCAGACAGCCAGGAUGUUGGCUUAGAAGCAGCCAUCAUUUAAAGAAAGCGUAAUAGCUCACUGGUCGAGUCGGCCUGCGCGGAAGAUGUAACGGGGCUAAACCAUGCACCGAAGCUGCGGCAGCGACGCUGAUGCGUUGUUGGGUAGGGGAGCGUUCUGUAAGCCUGUGAAGGUGUGCUGUGAGGCAUGCUGGAGGUAUCAGAAGUGCGAAUGCUGACAUAAGUAACGAUAAAGCGGGUGAAAAGCCCGCUCGCCGGAAGACCAAGGGUUCCUGUCCAACGUUAAUCGGGGCAGGGUGAGUCGACCCCUAAGGCGAGGCCGAAAGGCGUAGUCGAUGGGAAACAGGUUAAUAUUCCUGUACUUGGUGUUACUGCGAAGGGGGGACGGAGAAGGCUAUGUUGGCCGGGCGACGGUUGUCCCGGUUUAAGCGUGUAGGCUGGUUUUCCAGGCAAAUCCGGAAAACUAAGGCUGAGGCGUGAUGACGAGGCACUACGGUGCUGAAGCAACAAAUGCCCUGCUUCCAGGAAAAGCCUCUAAGCAUCAGGUAACAUCAAAUCGUACCCCAAACCGACACAGGUGGUCAGGUAGAGAAUACCAAGGCGCUUGAGAGAACUCGGGUGAAGGAACUAGGCAAAAUGGUGCCGUAACUUCGGGAGAAGGCACGCUGAUAUGUAGGUGAAGUCCCUCGCGGAUGGAGCUGAAAUCAGUCGAAGAUACCAGCUGGCUGCAACUGUUUAUUAAAAACACAGCACUGUGCAAACACGAAAGUGGACGUAUACGGUGUGACGCCUGCCCGGUGCCGGAAGGUUAAUUGAUGGGGUCAGCGCAAGCGAAGCUCUUGAUCGAAGCCCCGGUAAACGGCGGCCGUAACUAUAACGGUCCUAAGGUAGCGAAAUUCCUUGUCGGGUAAGUUCCGACCUGCACGAAUGGCGUAAUGAUGGCCAGGCUGUCUCCACCCGAGACUCAGUGAAAUUGAACUCGCUGUGAAGAUGCAGUGUACCCGCGGCAAGACGGAAAGACCCCGUGAACCUUUACUAUAGCUUGACACUGAACAUUGAGCCUUGAUG